ACAAAAGGAGCCCCACCAGGCCGUGAUUGGACCGAACAGGAGACGUGUUUGCUGUUGGAAGCAUUGGAAAUGUUUAAGGAUGACUGGAAUAAGGUAGAAUAUCCCCCGGAAUAAUAUGGCUAUUCAGUAAAUUUGGAGCUUCUGAGCAAAAGCUUCCACGUGGAAAAAUGCUUCGGUUUUUGGAGCCAAAACUGAAUUUCAAAGUGUCAAGAUUGUAUAAAAUGGAGCAAAUUGUCACUUGGAACUCUGCUGAUUUCACUGAAAAAUCGUCAAAUUUAACACUUUUUUUUAAAUCAAAAAUGCAUUGCAACUUUUUCCUCACGAGGGACGAGGAAAAGUGGUUUCUAGGCCAUGGCCGAGGGGCCGACAAGUUUCAGCGGCCAUUUAUCUUGCUUUGUUUUCCGCCUGUUUUCUUUCGUUUUUCACUGACUUUUUUCGUUUUUUCUUAUUAAAACUGAUAAAUAAAUAUUUUUUGCAGAUUUUAAAACAAUUUCCAAGUAAAAAAAUUAUGUAUUCAGUGGGCAAGCAGCGGUGAAAGUGGGCAAUGCAAUAUGAUGGAUUACGGGAAUACAAAACCCAAACUUUUUCUGAAACAUGAUACAUAUGCUGCUUAAAUGCUGAAGCUACCUGAUUUUCAUAACGAGACCGCUGAAAAAGUUUUGAGAUUUUCAAAAUUCAACUUUUUUGGUGAAAAAGUCGAGAUUUUCGCACAAAAAGUUGAAUUGUGGAAACCUCAAAACUUUUUCAGCGGUCUCGUUAUGAAAAUCAGGUAAUUUCAGCAUUUAAGCAGCAUGUGUAUCAUGUUUCAGAAAAAGUUCAGGUUUUGUAUUCCCGUAAUCCAUCAUAUUACAAUGCUCACUUUCACCGCUGCUUGCCGACUGAAUACAUAAUUUUUUUACUUGGAAAUUGUUUUAGCAUCUGCAAAAAAUAUUUAUUUAUCAGUUUUAUUAAGAAAAAACGAAAAAAUCGAUGAAAAACGAAAGAAAACAGGCGGAAAACAAAGCAAGAUAAAUGGCCGCUGAAACUUGUCGGCUCCUCGGCCAUGGCCUAGAAACCACUUUUCCUCGUCCCUCGUGAGGAAAAAGUUGCAGUGUCGAAAUCCGAUCGUUGCCUUUUCCCUUUUUUCAGCUCAAAAAUUCUGUAAAAUUUAUAUUUUUCCAGCUUUUUGUUCAAUUUUCAUCGAAAAUCGUCAAAUUUACCAUUUUUCAAUCAAUUUUUACUGAAAAAUCCAAAAAAAUUGCUCAUUUUAAAACAAUUUUCAGCCACAAAAAAUUCGAUUUUUCAACUCAAAAAACCCCGAAAAAUCCAUAUUUUUCCAGCUUUUUGUUCAAUUUUCAUAAAAAUAUUUUUAAAAAAUUAAAAAAAAUCAAAGCUGUUUUUUUCUGUAAAAAUUGCUCAUUUUAAAACAACAAUUUUCAGCCAAAAAAUCCGAUUUUUCAACUCAAAAAACCCCGAAAAAUCCAUAUUUUUUCAGGUUUGCGACCACGUCGGCACUCGAACUCAACACGAAUGUGUUCUAAAAUUCCUUCAACUCCCAAUUCAAGACCCAUAUCUAACUGAAAAUCUGUCGUCGGAUAAAGCUGAAGCAGCUCCCGGCGGAGCAGCCAAAGAAGUACUCGGACCACUUGCAUUCCAGCCUGUUCCAUUUUCUCAAUCUGGAAAUCCAGUAAUGUCAACUGUGGCUUUUCUGGCAUCAGUUGUGGAUCCACAAGUGGCCGCUGCAGCUACAAAAGCUGCAAUGGAAGAAUUUGGAAAAUUGAAAGAAGAAAUUCCGCCGCUUGUAGCUGAAGCUCAUGAGAAAAAUGUUGCGGCAAUGGCCGAAAAGACUGGGCAAGUUGAUGGAGCUGUUGGGCUUACGAAAAGUGGCCUAAAGCCUGCUGAAGAGGCCGCCGGAGG
rnacentral:sRNA from 1 species